CGAAUUUGGGUAAUGCCUUAAACAUGCAAGUCGAGCGAACCGACGGGAGCUUGCUCCCUUAUGUUAGCGGCGGACGGCGUGAGUAACACGUGGGUAACCUGCCUGUAAGACUGGGAUAACUCCGGGAAACCGGGGCUAAUACCGGAUGCUUGAUUGAACCGCAUGGUUCAAUUAUAAAAGGUGGCUUUUACCUACCACUUACAAAUGGACCCGCGGCGCAUUACCUAGUUGGUGAGGUAACGGCUCACCAAGGCGACAAUGCGUACCCGACCUGAAAGGGUGAUCGGCCACACUGGGACUGAAACACGGCCCAAACUCCUACGGGAGGCAGCAGUAGGGAAUCUUCCGCAAUGGACAAAAGUCUGACGGAGCAACGCCGCGUGAGUGAUGAAGGUUUUCGGAUCGUAAAACUCUGUUGUUAGGGAAAAACAAGUACCGUUCAAACAGGGCGGUACCUUGACGGUACCUAACCAAAAAGCCACGGCUAACUACGUGCCACCAGCCGCGGUAAUACGUAGGGGGCAAGCGUUGUCCGGAAUUAUUGGGCGUAAAGCGCGCGCAGGCGGUUUCUUAAUUCUGAUGUGAAAGCCCCCGGUUCAACCGGGGAGGGUCAUUGAAAACUGGGGAACUUGAGUGCAAAAAAGGAGAGUGAAAUUCCACGUGUAGCGGUGAAAUGCGAAAAGAUGUGGAGGAACACCAGUGGCAAAGGCGACUCUCUGGUCUGUAACUGACGCUGAGGCGCGAAAGCGUGGGGAGCGAACAGGAUUAAAUACCCUGGUAUCCCACGCCGCAAACGAUGAGUGCUAAGUGUUAGAGGGUUUCCGCCCUUUAUGCUGCACCAAACGCAUUAAAGCACUCCGUCCCUGGGGGGAAGAUACGGGUCGAAAAGAACUGUGAAAACCUUCAUAAGAGGAUAACUUU
rnacentral:rRNA from 1 species